rnacentral:misc_RNA from 1 species
AAGUCGUAACAAGGUUUCCGUAGGUGAACCUGCGGAAGGAUCAUUAUCGAAAUUAUCGGUGAGGGUUGUAGCUGGCCUUUCGGGGCACGUGCACGCCCGAGCCCUUUAAUCCACUUUACACCUGUGAACCUAAUGUAGGUCGCCCCUCGAAAAGGUGGCCUACGUCUUAUCAUCAACCCCAUCGUAUGUCUCAUAGAAUGUAAAUCAAUAUCCUCGCCUUAAAAAAGCGUUGAUAAACUUUAUACAA